rnacentral:rRNA from 1 species
UACGUAGGGACCAAGCGUUGUUCGGAUUUACUGGGCGUAAAGGGCGCGUAGGCGGCUUAACAAGUCACUUGUGAAAUCUCCGGGCUUAACUCGGAACGGCCAAGUGAAACUGUCAAGCUAGAGUGCAGAAGGGGCAAUCGGAAUUCUUGGUGUAGCGGUGAAAUGCGUAGAUAUCUGGAGGAACACCGGUGGCGAAGGCGGCAUCCUGGACCGACACUGACGCUGAGGAGCGAAAGCGUGGGGAGCGAACAGG